rnacentral:piRNA from 1 species
GUAGUCUGGCCCUGUGAGGAAAAGCAACA